rnacentral:rRNA from 1 species
AUUGAACGCUGGCGGAGUGCUUUACACAUGCAAGUCGAACGGCAGCACGGACUUCGGUCUGGUGGCGAGUGGCGAACGGGUGAGUAAUGUAUCGGAACGUGCCCAGUCGUGGGGGAUAACGUAGUGAAAAUUACGCUAAUACCGCAUACGAUCUAUGGAUGAAAGCGGGGGAUCGCAAGACCUCGCGCGAUUGGAGCGGCCGAUAUCAGAUUAGGUAGUUGGCGGGGUAAAGGCCCACCAAGCCAACGAUCUGUAGCUGGUCUGAGAGGACGACCAGCCACACUGGGACUGAGACACGGUCCAGACUCCUACGGGAGGCAGCAGUGGGGAAUUUUGGACAAUGGGCGAAAGCCUGAUCCAGCCAUUCCGCGUGCAGGAUGAAGGCCCUCGGGUUGUAAACUGCUUUUGUACAGAACGAAAAGGUUUCUACUAAUACUAGGAGCUCAUGACGGUACUGUAAGAAUAAGCACCGGCUAACUACGUGCCAGCCGCCGCCGUAA